rnacentral:rRNA from 1 species
GAAUGCUGACAUAAGUAACGAUAAAGCGGGUGAAAAGCCCGCUCGCCGGAAGACCAAGGGUUCCUGUCCAACGUUAAUCGGGGCAGGGUGAGUCGACCCCUAAGGCGAGGCCGAAAGGCGUAGUCGAUGGGAAACAGGUUAAUAUUCCUGUACUUGGUGUUACUGCGAAGGGGGGACGGAGAAGGCUAUGUUGGCCGGGCGACGGUUGUCCCGGUUUAAGCGUGUAGGCUGGUUUUCCAGGCAAAUCCGGAAAAUCAAGGCUGAGGCGUGAUGACGAGGCACUACGGUGCUGAAGCGACAAAUGCCCUGCUUCCAGGAAAAGCCUCUAAGCAUCAGGUAACAUCAAAUCGUACCCCAAACCGACACAGGUGGUCAGGUAGAGAAUACCAAGGCGCUUGAGAGAACUCGGGUGAAGGAACUA